ACUCCUACGGGAGGCAGCAGUGGGGAAUAUUGGACAAUGGGCGCAAGCCUGAUCCAGCCAUGCCGCGUGAGUGAUGAAGGCCCUAGGGUUGUAAAGCUCUUUCACCGGUGAAGAUAAUGACGGUAACCGGAGAAGUAGCCCCGGCUAACUUCGUGCCAGCAGCCGCGGUAAUACGAAGGGGGCUAGCGUUGUUCGGAUUUACUGGGCGUAAAGCGCACGUAGGCGGACUAUUAAGUCAGGGGUGAAAUCCCGGGGCUCAACCCCGGAACUGCCUUUGAUACUGGUAGUCUUGAGUUCGAGAGAGGUGAGUGGAAUUCCGAGUGUAGAGGUGAAAUUCGUAGAUAUUCGGAGGAACACCAGUGGCGAAGGCGGCUCACUGGCUCGAUACUGACGCUGAGGUGCGAAAGCGUGGGGAGCAAACAGGAUUAGAUACCCCAGUAGUCCCAUGA
rnacentral:rRNA from 1 species